ACUACGGGAGGCUGCAGUGAGGAAUAUUGGUCAAUGGCCGGAAGGCUGAACCAGCCAUGCCGCGUGAAGGGCAGGGACCUAUGGGCGUUAAACUUCUUUUGUGCGGGAGCAAUAAUGGUCACGUGUGGCCAGACGAGAGUACCGUACGAAUAAGCAUCGGCUAACCCCGUGCCAGCAGCCGCGGUAAUACGGGGGAUGCAAGCGUUAUCCGGAUUUAUUGGGUUUAAAGGGGGCGUAGGCUGUGAGGUAAGUCAGCGGUGAAAUGCCCCGGCUCAACGGGGUGAAGUGCCAUUGAUACUGCCUUGCUGGAGUGCGGAUGCCGUGGGAGGAAUGUGUGGUGUAGCGGUGAAAUGCAUAGAUAUCACGCAGAACACCGAUUGCGAAGGCAUCUCACGAAUCCGCGAUUGACGCUGAUGCACGAAAGCGUGGGUAUCAAACAGGAUUAGAUACCCCAGUAGUC
rnacentral:rRNA from 1 species